GAUGAACGCUGGCGGCGUGCCUAAUACAUGCAAGUCGAGCGAACGGACGAGAAGCUUGCUUCUCUGAUGUUAGCGGCGGACGGGUGAGUAACACGUGGAUAACCUACCUAUAAGACUGGGAUAACUUCGGGAAACCGGAGCUAAUACCGGAUAAUAUUUUGAACCGCAUGGUUCAAAAGUGAAAGACGGUCUUGCUGUCACUUAUAGAUGGAUCCGCGCUGCAUUAGCUAGUUGGUAAGGUAACGGCUUACCAAGGCAACGAUGCAUAGCCGACCUGAGAGGGUGAUCGGCCACACUGGAACUGAGACACGGUCCAGACUCCUACGGGAGGCAGCAGUAGGGAAUCUUCCGCAAUGGGCGAAAGCCUGACGGAGCAACGCCGCGUGAGUGAUGAAGGUCUUCGGAUCGUAAAACUCUGUUAUUAGGGAAGAACAUAUGUGUAAGUAACUGUGCACAUCUUGACGGUACCUAAUCAGAAAGCCACGGCUAACUACGCGCCAGCAGCCGCGGUAAUACGUAGGUGGCAAGCGUUAUCCGGAAUUAUUGGGCGUAAAGCGCGCGUAGGCGGUUUUUUAAGUCUGAUGUGAAAGCCCACGGCUCAACCGUGGAGGGUCAUUGGAAACUGGAAAACUUGAGUGCGGAAGAGGAAAGUGGAAUUCCAUGUGUAGCGGUGAAAUGCGCAGAGAUAUGGAGGAACACCAGUGGCGAAGGCGACUUUCUGGUCUGUAACUGACGCUGAUGUGCGAAAGCGUGGGGAUCAAACAGGAUUAGAUACCCUGGUAGUCCACGCCGUAAACGAUGAGUGCUAAGUGUUAGGGGGUUUCCGCCCCUUAGUGCUGCAGCUAACGCAUUAAGCACUCCGCCUGGGGAGUACGACCGCAAGGUUGAAACUCAAAGGAAUUGACGGGGACCCGCACAAGCGGUGGAGCAUGUGGUUUAAUUCGAAGCAACGCGAAGAGCCUUACCAAAUCUUGACAUCCUUUGACAACUCUAGAGAUAGAGCCUUCCCCUUCGGGGGACAAAGUGACAGGUGGUGCAUGGUUGUCGUCAGCUCGUGUCGUGAGAUGUUGGGUUAAGUCCCGCAACGAGCGCAACCCUUAAGCUUAGUUGCCAUCAUUAAGUUGGGCACUCUAAGUUGACUGCCGGUGACAAACCGGAGGAAGGUGGGGAUGACGUCAAAUCAUCAUGCCCCUUAUGAUUUGGGCUACACACGUGCUACAAUGGACAAUACAAAGGGCAGCGAAACCGCGAGGUCAAGCAAAUCCCAUAAAGUUGUUCUCAGUUCGGAUUGUAGUCUGCAACUCGACUACAUGAAGCUGGAAUCACUAGUAAUCGUAGAUCAGCAUGCUACGGUGAAUACGUUCCCGGGUCU
rnacentral:rRNA from 1 species